rnacentral:rRNA from 1 species
CAAUACUUAGUGGCAGACGGGUGAGUAACAUGUGGGUAUCUUCCCUUUGGUGAGGAAUAACACGAGGAAACUUGUGCUAAUACCUCAUAAGUCUUUACGGAGAAAGCUUUAUGCGCCAAUGGAUGAGCCCGCACUUGAUUAGUUUGUUGGUGGGGUAAUGGCCUACCAAGACUGUGAUCAAUAGCUGAUUUGAGAGGAUGAUCAGCCACAUUGGGACUGAGACACGGCCCAAACUCCUACGGGAGGCAGCAGUAAGGAAUCUUGCACAAUGGAGGAAACUCUGAUGCAGCGAUGCCGCGUGAGUGAAGAAGGCCUUUGGGUUGUAAAGCUCUUUCGUCGGGGAAGAAAAUGACUGUACCCGAAUAAGAAGGUCCGGCUAACUUCGUGCCAGCAGCCGCGGUAAUACGAAGGGACCUAGCGUAGUUCGGAAUUACUGGGCUUAAAGAGUUCGUAGGUGGUUAAAAAAGUUGGUGGUGAAAUCCCAGAGCUUAACUCUGGAACUGCCAUCAAAACUUUUUAGCUAGAGUAUGAUAGAGGAAAGCAGAAUUUCUAGUGUAGAGGUGAAAUUCGUAGAUAUUAGAAAGAAUACCAAUUGCGAAGGCAGCUUUCUGGAUCAUUACUGACACUGAGGAACGAAAGCAUGGGUAGCGAAGAGGAUUAGAUACCCUCGUAGUCCAUGCCGUAAACGAUGUGUGUUAGACGUUGGAAAUUUAUUUUCAGUGUCGCAGCGAAAGCGAUAAACACACCGCCUGGGGAGUACGACCGCAAGUAAAACUCAAAUGAAUUGACGGGGACCCGCACAAGUAGUGGAGCAU